CGAGUGCUUGCACUCAAUUGGAAAGAGGAGUGGCGGACGGGUGAGUAACACGUGGGUAACCUACCCAUCAGAGGGGGAUAACACUUGGAAACAGGUGCUAAUACCGCAUAACAGUUUAUGCCGCAUGGCAUAAGAGUGAAAGGCGCUUUCGGGUGUCGCUGAUGGAUGGACCCGCGGUGCAUUAGCUAGUUGGUGAGGUAACGGCUCACCAAGGCCACGAUGCAUAGCCGACCUGAGAGGGUGAUCGGCCACACUGGGACUGAGACACGGCCCAGACUCCUACGGGAGGCAGCAGUAGGGAAUCUUCGGCAAUGGACGAAAGUCUGACCGAGCAACGCCGCGUGAGUGAAGAAGGUUUUCGGAUCGUAAAACUCUGUUGUUAGAGAAGAACAAGGACGUUAGUAACUGAACGUCCCCUGACGGUAUCUAACCAGAAAGCCACGGCUAACUACGUGCCAGCAGCCGCGGUAAUACGUAGGUGGCAAGCGUUGUCCGGAUUUAUUGGGCGUAAAGCGAGCGCAGGCGGUUUCUUAAGUCUGAUGUGAAAGCCCCCGGCUCAACCGGGGAGGGUCAUUGGAAACUGGGAGACUUGAGUGCAGAAGAGGAGAGUGGAAUUCCUGUGUGAAGCGG
rnacentral:rRNA from 1 species